rnacentral:rRNA from 1 species
CUCCUACGGGAGGCAGCAGUGGGGAAUAUUGGACAAUGGGCGCAAGCCUGAUCCAGCCAUGCCGCGUGAGUGAUGAAGGCCUUAGGGUUGUAAAGCUCUUUUAUCCGGGACGAUAAUGACGGUACCGGAGGAAUAAGCCCCGGCUAACUUCGUGCCAGCAGCCGCGGUAAU